GACGAACGCUGGCGGCGGGCUUAACACAUGCAAGUCGAAGGAGAAGGAAGGAGCUUGCUCUUUCCGGAGACUGGCGCACGGGUGAGUAACGCGUAGACAACCUGCCUAUAGCUGGGGGAUAACAUCUCGAAAGAGGUGCUAAUACCGCAUAAUGCAGCGGGGCCGCAUGGUCACAGUUGUUAAAGCUUUCGGGCGGCUAUAGAUGGGUCUGCGUGCCAUUAGUUAGUUGGUAGGGUAACGGCCUACCAAGGCGAUGAUGGCUAGGGGGUCUGAGAGGAUGAUCCCCCACACUGGGACUGAGACACGGCCCAGACUCCUACGGGAGGCAGCAGUGAGGAAUCUUGCGCAAUGGAGGAAACUCUGACGCAGCCACGCCGCGUGCCGGAAGAAGGCCCUAUGGGUUGUAAACGGCUUUUAAUUGGGAAGAAGGAUAGGGUUUUGAUCUUAUUUGACGGUACCGAUUGAAUAAGCACCGGCUAACUCCGUGCCAGCAGCCGCGGUAAUACGGAGGGUGCAAGCGUUGUCCGGAAUCAUUGGGUGUAAAGGGUGC
rnacentral:rRNA from 1 species